rnacentral:lncRNA from 1 species
GCACAAUGCUUCGAGUUUCAAUAAAGAGUAAGUAGUAAUAUUACAGACUAGAGCCAUUUACAUAAUAUAAAUCAAAGUACACAGAAUCGAAACGUAGCCAACGUAAACAACCCACCACAGGCAGCUGACUGGGGGAGGUCGCUAGCCUAAACCACAAACUCGUCGAAGUCUUGGAACUCCUGUGUAUCCGUCUUGUCGCCUUCGUCUUUACCUGAGCAUAGAUUGCACCAAAGGCAACCUGGUGUUUUGUGAAAGCAAGGGUGAGUACACAUCAACAUACUCAGCAAAUGUCCCGUUUGGCUGAAGUGGACUAGCUUUAUUUGGGGUUAAGGUCAAGCAGUUGCUUUUAGUUGGUCAGGUUAUUAUUAUUAAUUGAGAGCCAGGUUUUAACAUUAACCCAAGUUAUUAACCCAAAGUACCCUUUCCAAACGGAAAGAAUACCACUUACCAUUACCAUAGUCAUAACCAGCAUCAUCAUCAUCUGUAAACCAACCAUCUCUGAUCAAGUAUCUCUAAUCAAAGAGGAUCCCAAGGCUGCUCUUAACCGUGAGCACGGCUGAUAUAUCAGUUUCUAACCCUCUGCAGAGGUCGCACACUUUACCCAUGAGCCGUGAUUCCCGUUUUGCCCGGGGAUCAUGACUCCCCAUUGAUCACUUCCAAGGUGGUCCGGCAGGGUAUCACUACGUAGCCUUUACAAAGAUUCCCUAGAGGUCAUAGUCGCCCGUUAGGUUUCUCCAGUUUGAUAAACACAGUACCUCUCCCCGCAGGAGGGUGACUAUCAAAAGCAAAACGAAAGAACCUCGGCGCCCAGUCUCGGCAGAGCAAGCACUGUGCCUGGACCCCAUUGACGGCAAGACGGCGAAGCAACUACACCUCUAGUUCCUCUAAUUAAUUAGCUAAGGGCGCCCCAUUUCACCCUCAUGGUUGCACUGUUAUCCCGGGUUGUCACUCCCCAAACAGGUCCUUACGGAGAGGCACUCAGGAAACAGCCUGAGCCCCCUAAAGUAUCACAGGAACAUCAUCGGGAUAACAUCAUAGUAUCAUAAGUAUUCACAUCAUGUUCAUUGAUUCAAGUAAAGCAAUAGCAUAAUGCUAACCAUGAUAACCCAAAAGGUAAACAAGGAUAAGGUAAAUGGAAAGCUAGUCAAUCCUAAGGUUUCAAUUAAGUAAUGCGGGACAGUGCAUUAAAAGUGAAUGGGACAUAAUAGGUCAGAGGACACUUGCCUUCACGAAAUAGAUACUCAGGGUCUUCAGCCUCGUAGAACUCGAAGAGUUCGAUCACUUGGUCGCCAAAGCUUGACCGUCGAUUCCUCGAAGCUCGAAGAUGGAUCGCAGUCUAUUCGCGACGCGAAGCGAAGACGAACAAGCACCAGCAAACAAACAUAUACAUAUGCAUAAGAACAUUACACCAUACAAAGGAAAACAUAAUCAAAACAUGCAAUACGAAAUAGAGCGCGUUACUACAGUCACGCGAGGAAAAAGAAACACGGCGGUCGAGGCUACGGUCGAGAAGUUAUCGCGUCCAUACUAAGCGAGUAUUAAUCAUAACAUUUAGUUUGAUCUAAUUAUACUAAUCAAUAUUUAUUAAAAUAAAACUAGAGCUGUUACACAAUUUUAAUUAGCUGACCACACUAACGAUUCUUAGUUAAAUAAGUAAAUUAAAUAUCAGUGACUCUAAGCGGGACGAAUUAGUGGAGCGAGAUGAAAUACACGUGAAACAGCACGACCGCACGCGCACCACGUGUCGCAGACAACGUGACGAUGGUGAAUCCAACACGACAGCGUGCAAACGACGCGUGUACACGCGCGACAUAGCACGCUGACAGCACACGAAACAACGCGCGCGACCAGCGCGAACGAGAACGCCACCACACGCGGAACAACACGCGCAACAUGAGAGAAAACUAAAUAGGUGACACGUUUAUACUAAACAGAUGUUAAAUAUAUAAAAAGUAGUUACGUUAAUAUUUGUCAUGUUAAUAUUUAUUAUAAAAGCUCAAGUGGAACACUGCACAUUUAAUCUAGUUAGAACAUUAAUCUAAUAAAUAUCAGUCGAGUGAACCUUAAAUUUACUAUCACGUGUAGAUGUCGAGCGACACACGUGAUCGACACGCGAGAUACACGCGCGAAACAACACUACGACACGCAUACGAUGCGCGCAUAACACGACGACGAGCACGUCACACGCGAAGAGCGCGACGAUAGUGUGACGACACGAGAACUACUAAAUAGAUGUGGCGUCUAAACUAUGCAAGUAUUAAAUUAAAACAUUUAUGUAGUCAUUAAUCACACUAACAUGUAGUUAUAAAUCGUAAAUUAAAACUAUAAAUUAGUUAUUUUAAUGACCAAGAGAUAAACAAUUACUUUAUUAAUUAAAUAGAACAUGUGUCGCGACCAAACAUUGUUUCUAACAUGUAGACACGUUAUUAUCAAACCGACGCAACUAGAACGAGUCGAAACAAAUUUAUAACGGUGCACAAAAUCGUUACACGGUUAAUGUAACUGGACUGGAAUGAAUCGAAUAUCUAACACAAAAGUUAUACAUAUUUUAAUAAAUAGCGCACUAACGAUGAUGUGGCUAGCAUCUCCUUCCUCUUAUCUCUAUUGAGCUCAUUCACGUAGGGAGAAAAGAAGGCACGGUGACCUGGGAAACUGCCCAGGCAGCCGGCUGCCGAUAAGAGAGAAGGAGAGAGAGGGAUCAGAAGGAGAGAGAGAGAGAGGCUCGGCGAGGGCGCCGUUGAGGUCUGCACGCCGGGGCGCCGGGCGGGCUCAUCUAUGGGAGAACCUGACACCAGCACCGACGAGCAAGAUUAGGACAGAGACCCUUGAUACAACAGCAGCAGGCUCGAUUUGAAUCUUACCAAGCCGAUUCUGCUUGGCAAGAGAUUGAUUCCAGAGGAAACAAGGUUGAUUCAAGGCAAAAUGGAAUCAGCAGCUUGAUCUACGUGGGGAAGAUCUCAGAAGACUAAUCAAGUUGGGCAUCAAGGACCUCUAUCUGGCACCACGAAGCUUGUUCUGCAUCAGGACAUUCAAUUCGAAGACUAGCAGGCAACUUGGGGCAGCACGAUGCUUCUACCAAGGGUGGUUGGGGUCAGGGAAGAGAGGGGGUCGGGCCCUUGGCUGCUGGCAGCAGCACGCCGGCAAUGGCCAAGCUGCUGUGCACGGGGAGAGAGGAGGGCUGAGCACCACCGCCCAUCCUCGCGGUGAGCAGGGACCGGACGCCUGGCGCGCGGGCGAGCCGCCAAGCUAGCGCGGUGCCACGCCGGUCGACCGCCGCGCCGCGCCCUGCACGGGGGCCACGCUCGACCAUGGAUCUAGCACGGGGGAGGGCAGCCAUGGCCAGGGGCGAGCCAGCCGAGGGGCAUGGACGGGCUGGAGCCGCGCCAUGGGCCUCGCUGCGCCCGCGACUGGUGCGCGAGCCGAGCUUGGCCGCGACCUGGGGAAAGAAGGGCGCCUAGGGAGCUCAGCUGCGUGCUGGCCGGUGGGGAGGCCGCGGCAGGGGCGAGCCGCCGCGCAGGGGCUCCUAGCCGCGACGCCGGGCGGGGCCGCCGGACUUGGCCGCACAACGGAGGGAAAGGGAUCCACGCGAGGUCUCGCCGAGAGGAAACGAACUGCUCGGCCGGGGGACAGAGAGGACUACUCGUCGGGGAAGGAGAACGACGUGACGCGGGGCUGCAGGGAGGGUCCGUCGAGGGGGAGAGAGGAUGGGGAAGGGAAGAGAGGGGAGAGGACUCACCGGGAACCGCCAUGUGCUGGGACGACAGCUUCUACGCGAUUUGAUCUGGGGAAGGAGACUAGAAAUUAUGUGACGGCUGGGUGGUUGUAUAAAAGGGAACAUGGGAGGAGGUUGCCAAACUCAUCAUCAACUGUGUUGCGACCGAGCAAGAGAGGCGAUUGCGAAUACGACGAGGGUAAACACGAGCAACACGACGUUUGCGAGGAAAUACAUUUUAAUCAUCCCGCGAAAAGGACACGAGAUCUGGAACAGGCUCGACGAGAGGAAGAAAUAUAUGUUAUCGUGUUUUCGAAAUACUAAAUUUAGGCAUUUAAAUAUUAGAAAGGCUGAAAUUCAUAUUUUAUGCCCGAAGAAAGUUCCGAAGAUUCCAAAAACUCUCGGGAACAUCUUCGAGAUAUUUUAACCUGUUUCAAUAACAUUUUGCACUCAUAAACACUAUGCAUCUGCAUGAAUGCAACACUCAAGCACCUCUGAGGUUUUAUUUUACUAAGCUUACACCUAGAUAUGAAAUAAAAUAUUUCUCCACUUUUAGGAAAAAGAGAAGGAAAGCGAAGAGCUGAGGGAGUAACACCUGAAUUUGGUGGAUAUUUGAAAAGAAAUUUUAUACCCCCAAAUUCAGGGUGUUACAAAUCUAACCCCCUUAACAGAAUCUCGCCCUCGAGAUUCAAGAAGAGGCUAGCAGAAAAAAAAAGAUUCGUUCAUUGGUUGAUCAUGGAUUUCUUGGGUUAACUUUGACUCUGCGAACUUAACUUGGGGGUUGGUUUGCUUUGACUUUCAGGUGCUUGAGACCGAUCGAUUCAAUUCUUGAGGAUCUCUUGGACCUGUGGGUUAGGACCCACACACGCUUCCGUUGCGCCACUUUGAUCUUGCUGGCUGAUGUUGAUUGCAUUGUCUUCAUUGGGGUUUGCGGCUAACCCCCUUAACAGGAGCGUAGAUACCCACUUGGUGAAGACGCUGUUGACUCUGAUCUUUAUUGAUUAAGAGAGGUUGUAGGAUGCCAACUGGGCAGGUGCCAAAGGAAAGGCUACAGAUAGAAAAGGUAAGCAUAGAUGGAUUAAAGAGAGAAAAGGGAGGGCACCCAGCUACCAAACUCUAUAGCACUCACCUAGCAAACUGAUGCCAUUACGGACCAACGGCCACAACACAUAAACACUCAACACAAAGAAGCAAAUCAGUCAUCACACAAGGACAAACAACACAAGCAUACAACAACACACAUCUCGCUGCUAUACGUAGCUUUUAAUUAAAUGGUGGUCUUUCUUGAAAAGGGAAUAACUACUCUCUAAUGUUGUUGGGGGGCAAUGAGAAGAACAAGACGUGUAGGAUAGGGACACUAGCACAGUAAAGGAUGGAGUUUAAGGAUUGUAAUCGACAAGGGAGAGAAUGAAACCAAGGUCAGAAUAGGUAAAACACCAUUCUCGAAUCGAGAUGGAAAAGAUGAUAUUUCGAAAGGUAGACAUAAGAUAACAUCAUGGAAAGAUCUAGAGGUUACAAAUGUAAGGGAAGUAACAGGCAAAAGUCCACCAAAAGAUCGAGUUAAGGCAAGACUUGUAACGCGACAGAGGAAAAGGGAACGAACAAGAGCGGGAUGGGUAAGGCAACACUCUUGAACUGAAAAGGGAUAGACAUCUUUAAAAUGCUGGUACAUGAUAAGCAUCAAGGUAAAGGUCGAGUGACGACAAGGGUUAAGGUGAUAACGGACAAACAUGCAACAAAGGAUGUAUUUUAGACAAAACUUGCAAGGCGUCGAAGAAGGGGGAGCAAUCAAUGGUGAAGUGGGUGAGGCAUUACUCUCGAACAGGGACAGAAAAGAGGAGGCUUUAAAAGGUAGGUUCAAAGUAAGCGUGUAAGGGUAUGGAUAUUAAGGUGAUAACGGACAAGAAUGUAAGAGAGGAGGUAAAUGGGCAUAAGAACAAAGGGUAUAAGUACCACAAAGGAUGGAGUUAAGAUAGGACCUGUAAAUGGAAAAGAAGAGGGUACGUCCAAGGGCCAGAUAGGUAAACUGCCACUCUCAAACUUUCUCAAAAUAAAGGAGAGGCUUUUAAAGGAUAAGUUCAAGGCAAGAAUUUAGGUAGAAGACAUAAAUAUCACAAGGGUCAGAGGAGAAAAUAGACAAGGGCAUAGGAGAAAAGAUGAAGGCACAGAAGAGCCAGUGGUAUAAGUACAAUAAAAAAUGGAGUUACAUCAAGGCUUACACGCGGUGAAGAAGAGGAUAUUGCCAAGGGUGAGAUAAGUAAAACACCACUCUCAAAUUGAGAUAGAAGACUGAAGAUUUUAGAUAACAGACAUAAUGUAAUCACAAGGCAGGAUAGAGUGAUGAGAAGAGUAAAGGAAAUAACAAACAAAAACACAACAAAGUAUAGAGUUAAAAACUCACAGGUGACAAAGAAGAGGAUACGACCAUGGGAAAAGUAGGUAAAGUACGAUGCUCAAAUUGAGAUGGGAAAAGGAGAAGAUUUUAAAUGCCGGUAUAAGAUAAACCUCGAGUAAGAUAUAGAGGUGUCUAAGGUGAAGGUGAUAAUAACAAAAGUGAUGACAAAUGUUAGAGUUAAGGCAAGACUCGCGGAAUGGCUAAGUGGAGAAAACAAACAAGGUAAGAUAGGUGAUGUUUCAAUAGAAUAGUUGAAGUAAGAAUUCAUUACCGAGGGAAGUUAUAAGGAAGCAACGAGAUUACCACGGGUGUGCAAAAUAAAAUGAUCGCUCAUGGAUUAUUAGGAAACAAGGGUGGUCAAGGAUAUGUUAACAGAAAUGUCUUGAACAGUUAUUGGGGUAUGAAAAUAAGCAUACAUAAGAAUAUAAAAGUAUGCAAGAUUCCAAGGAUACGAGCAUACUAAGACCAAGGGCAUAGAAAUUGCCGAAAGAUAGCGACUUAACAACAGAAUAAGAAAUGAUCUCAGAAGACAAGAAGGUCAUGGACACAUAAACUGAAUUGUUUAAAUAGGCAAUAGAGGUACAAGGGUAAGUACUUUAGAUUAAGGGAUAAAGAUAUCAAAAAUGUAAGUAUACGAGCAUGUCAAUAACAAAAUGGAAUAGAGGUCAAAUGGUAGCAAUUUAAUAAUGGAUGAGGAAAGAGUCCCAAAAGACUAAGGGCUAUGGUCAGGGGGCAUCUACAAAGAUGUCGCAAGCACAAGAGUGAGAUCAGAUCUAGUAGAUUGAGAAAAGUAUAGACCAUACGAGAAUAAAAGUACUUUUGGCAAGGGGGCAUAUAGGAGCACAACAUAGAAUUAGUCGAGGUGACUAAUAUUUUGAAGCAGAAUCAAGGAUGAGGUGAAGUAAUGGUCAAUAAGUCCUUAAAACGGCCAAUGCUACUCUAGGAUAGCGGUCCUACAGUCAGCAAGGCUUUGAUACCACUUAUGUCACACCCGGUUUUAGAAGGUAAACCGAAUGCGAACCAUGUACGUGCCAGGAUCAGAAAUUCACGUACACAGCGAUUACAUAAAUGACUCAUCAUAGCACAAUGCUUCGAGUUUCAAUAAAGAGUAAGUAGUAAUAUUACAGACUAGAGCCAUUUACAUAAUAUAAAUCAAAGUACACAGAAUCGAAACGUAGCCAACGUAAACAACCCACCACAGGCAGCUGACUGGGGGAGGUCGCUAGCCUAAACCACAAACUCGUCGAAGUCUUGGAACUCCUGUGUAUCCGUCUUGUCGCCUUCGUCUUUACCUGAGCAUAGAUUGCACCAAAGGCAACCU